rnacentral:rRNA from 1 species
GAUGAACGCUAGCUACAGGCUUAACACAUGCAAGUCGAGGGGCAUCGGGAAGAAAGCUUGCUUUCUUUGCCGGCGACCGGCGCACGGGUGAGUAACACGUAUCCAACCUGCCCUUUACUCGGGGAUAGCCUUUCGAAAGAAAGAUUAAUACCCGAUGGCAUAAUGAUUCCGCAUGGUUUCAUUAUUAAAGGAUUCCGGUAAAGGAUGGGGAUGCGUUCCAUUAGGUUGUUGGUGAGGUAACGGCUCACCAAGCCUUCGAUGGAUAGGGGUUCUGAGAGGAAGGUCCCCCACAUUGGAACUGAGACACGGUCCAAACUCCUACGGGAGGCAGCAGUGAGGAAUAUUGGUCAAUGGGCGCUAGCCUGAACCAGCCAAGUAGCGUGAAGGAUGAAGGCUCUAUGGGUCGUAAACUUCUUUUAUAUAAGAAUAAAGUGCGGUAUGUAUACUGUUUUGUAUGUAUUAUAUGAAUAAGGAUCAGCUAACUCCGUGCCAGCAGCCGCGGUAAUACGGAGGAUCCGAGCGUUAUCCGGAUUUAUUGGGUUUAAAGGGAGCGUAGGUGGACUGGUAAGUCAGUUGUGAAAGUUUGCGGCUCAACCGUAAAAUUGCAGUUGAUACUGUCAGUCUUGAGUACAGUAGAGGUGGGCGGAAUUCGUGGUGUAGCGGUGAAAUGCUUAGAUAUCACGAAGAACUCCGAUUGCGAAGGCAGCUCACUGGACUGCAACUGACACUGAUGCUCGAAAGUGUGGGUAUCAAACAGG